ensembl:rRNA predicted gene, 23857
GUCUAUGGCCAAAUGACCCAGAAUGUGCCUGACCUCAACUGAUUCCAGAAGCUAAGCAGGUUUGGGCAUGGUUAAUACAUGGAAAGAAGAGAAUUCUUGUGCUUAAAGCCA